UACAGAGGUGGCAAGCGUUGUUCGGAAUUACUGGGCGUAAAGGGCGCGUAGGCGGUCUUCUAAGUCUUGUGUGAAAUCCCUCGGCUCAACUGAGGAACUGCACGGGAUACUGGAAGACUUGAGUUCGGGAGAGGGAAGCGGAAUUCCGGGUGUAGCGGUGAAAUGCGUAGAUAUCCGGAGGAACACCGGUGGCGAAGGCGGCUUCCUGGACAGAUUACUGACGCUGAGGCGCGAAAGCUAGGGGAGCAAACAGG
rnacentral:rRNA from 1 species